rnacentral:rRNA from 1 species
AUUGAACGCUGGCGGCAUGCCUUACACAUGCAAGUCGAACGGCAGCGGGCCUUCGGGUGCCGGCGAGUGGCGAACGGGUGAGUAAUGCAUCGGAACGUGCCAUUGAGUGGGGGAUAACGUAGCGAAAGUUACGCUAAUACCGCAUAUUCUGUGAGCAGGAAAGCAGGGGACCGCAAGGCCUUGCGCUCUUUGAGCGGCCGAUGUCAGAUUAGCUAGUUGGUGAGGUAAAGGCUUACCAAGGCGACGAUCUGUAGCGGGUCUGAGAGGAUGAUCCGCCACACUGGAACUGAGACACGGUCCAGACUCCUACGGGAGGCAGCAGUGGGAAUUUUGGACAAUGGGCGCAAGCCUGAUCCAGCCAUGCCGCGUGAGUGAAGAAGGCCUUC